CUUCUUUCUCCCAAGUCUCCCUUUCUCCAGGAAUGGUUCCAGAUUCUGUGUCCCUGUAGGCUCCUCAGGUCCCCCAAAAAGCAGAGCCCACAGAGUAAGCCCUGCUGAUCAGUGAGGCUCACAGUGCCACACAUGGACAUCUCCAUGGACAAGCUCCACCCCCACAGAAGUACACAAACCCAGAGCAGAAAAGAGGGCGGCUCCUGCAUGUCCGGCACAGAGCGGGCUACUGGACGGAAUGUGGAGAAUUGCAGCUCUCACCAGGGAAACUAUGGACAUCUGUUCUUAGGGUCAAUACAUCCCUGUGGUGUGAUGCCCUAGCCAUUGUAAUGUCACAGCACAAGUGGAAGUAAUUCUUAGCUAGAUGGGAUGUCUAUUAAAGCCGUAUUAUCCAAGCA